rnacentral:rRNA from 1 species
GUGGGGAAUCUUGCGCAAUGGGCGAAAGCCUGACGCAGCCAUGCCGCGUGAAUGAUGAAGGUCUUAGGAUUGUAAAAUUCUUUCACCGGGGACGAUAAUGACGGUACCCGGAGAAGAAGCUCCGGCUAACUUCGUGCCAGCAGCCGCGGUAAUACGAAGGGGGCUAGCGUUGCUCGGAAUUACUGGGCGUAAAGGGCGCGUAGGCGGACAGCUUAGUCAGAGGUGAAAGCCCAGGGCUCAACCUUGGAAUUGCCUUUGAUACUGGCUGUCUUGAGUUUGGGAGGUGUGAGUGGAACUCCGAGUGUAGAGGUGAAAUUCGUAGAUAUUCGGAAGAACACCAGUGGCGAAGGCGACUCACUGGCCCAAUACUGACGCUGAGGCUCGAAAGCGUGGGGAGCAAACAGGAUUAGAAACCCGAGUAGUCC